rnacentral:rRNA from 1 species
AACCUUUGACAUGUCCCGUAUGAGCACCAGAGAUGGAGCUCUUCAGUUCGGCUGGCGGGAACACAGGUGCUGCAUGGCUGUCGUCAGCUCGUGUCGUGAGAUGUUGGGUUAAGUCCCGCAACGAGCGCAACCCUCGCCCUUAGUUGCCAUCAUUCAGUUGGGCACUCUAAGGGGACUGCCGGUGAUAAGCCGCGAGGAAGGUGGGGAUGACGUCAAGUCCUCAU